CCUGUUUUUUUUUUCUUUUUAAAUGCUGUAUUUUUUUAAACCAUUUUGAAUAUUUUGUUUUCUGCUCUUUUGUUACCUAUAAUUCUUGGCAUAUCUGGAUAACAUCCUUUUGCAGAUGUGCUGAAGACUUGAGAUGAAGAGUGCUUAAUAUUUUGGACAAAUGCUCAAGAUAUUCUCAAGAGUUUCUCUGCUCAUAUGAAAACUCUUCCAUUUCACAGGCUCCUCAACUAAAACCAAUUGUUUUCGUCGCUCUUCACCUUGCUUGAUUGUCACUGACAAUAGAGGCCAUUAGAGCAAUGCUUCUAAGAGGAUAUUUGAUAAUCUGGAAACCGUUAUCUUUGCUGGAUACACCAAGGCAGUAUAAGACUCGGGGAGAAUAAGCCAUCCCAUCUAUUGUCUCCCACGGAGCAGGAGUGAAGGUUUUAUGGUUGUCAACUUUUAAACCGGCGGCGUGAUUCAAACAAAGAGGGACCGAAAUACAAAACCACACAGGCCGCGUCACAGCGGGGGAGCUCGCAGCGGCUGCUUGUGCAGCUGGGAGACGGAACCACUGCGGUACCGUGGCCAGCUUCCAGCUCCACAGCAUCACAGGAAUACGCAGCUGGGAUCCAGCGCUUCACCGCGGCGCCUCAGUGGAGAACAUGCUGACAGCACGGUUACCUUGUGCAGCUGUGACGGUCGCAGUUCAGUUACAAACACACCUUUCUUACAUUUCAGAGCAUUUAUACAUUAAAUAA